UAUUGGUUCCAUUCCCCCAAUUAAAUGAGUCUACACGUCUCCUUAGAAAAAAUGCCUUGCAAUGCGUCUGAACUACUAAGUACUUCCAUAUAAUUUCGAAAACAGAUAAUAAUCUAUUUCACUGGAUGAGAUUGGGCUGACGGAUUUUUAAAUGGAAAUGUAUUAAUUUUUAUUUAUAGCACAAGUUUUACAAGGCAAGAUUAUUCACCCUUUUCGCCCUACAAAUCAAAUCAAAUGGUUGCCUCCUUACACCUACACGAGCUAAAACAUAUACAUAUGAACAUUUGAUAUCAUUUAUUUUGUGUGACAACUCUUCACCAAUGACCUGAGUGAAAGGUUGACAUGGGCAGAUCCAGAAAUUUCCAUUUUUUUUUUUUUUUUGGGGGGGGGGGGGGGGCAGAGGGGGAUGCUUGCUCCAGUCAUGCUUCAGUGAUUCCCUAUAUAAUCAACAAAAUAUUUCACACCAAAAAGGGGGGCGGGGCUUUCUCCUUAAUAAGAAAUCUCUGUUUUCAGGCAUAGGCUCAUAUAAAUUUGCCUUUUGAAGAACUGAAAUAAAUAUGAAACGGCUAAUGAGUUUUCAGAUGCUUUACAUUAAAAUACAUCAUGUACAUACAUGUGACAUACACAAUUAUAUAUAAAUGUAGAAUCAAAUCUUGAUAAAUGUAUGUAGUUGAAAUUGUUAGCUUUAAACAUUAAAAAAAUGAACUCCCAAAGUUUAAACACAAUUAAGAAUGACCAUGUACAUGAUGUAGUCUGUAAUGUAUGCCAUUGCCAUGAAGCUAGAUCAUUGUAGGUAAACUGUCAUCUAUUCCCUUAAAUCUUUGUCCCCAGUCACCCCAAGUUUGAUUUAAA
rnacentral:lncRNA from 1 species